CCCUUAUCAGGAACAGACAGGGCUGAGAAGUACGGCCUCAUUUGGGGGCUCCUUGUUCAGAAAAUUCUCAAUUACAGCUUCUGGGUACUGAACUGUAACUGCACAGUCUCAACAGCUUCCUUGAUUCAAACGCCUCCGAUUACCCACUUUCAAAAUGCACACCAGUCAUUACCCAGCAACCUUGAAUUCCUAACAAGUUUAUGGUCCAAGGAACAUUUAAAAGGUGCAGAAUUUAUACCACAGAAAAUAAAAGUUCCUUCUCAGAAUUUCGGACUUCCUUCUCUUUGGUGAGAUGCGUCCCUGACCGUUCUGUGCCUUGCUGUUUCCAGAACGUGAUCUCCUUUGAGGCUUUUUGGGCAGAUACUGGAAUGAUCUCCAUUCUUUCUCCAGCUCGUUUUACAGAUCAGAAGCAGCUGAAGGUGGAAAUGGAAUCACGGAGGGGUAAGUGUGGACUUGUUGGGAAGAACCUUCCUUACGAUGAGACGCAGACCCGGCUGCCCCAAGAGUGGAGGUUUUCUAGCAGAGGCUGACCUGUCCCAGGGCGUUUCCCAUGAGCUGCAGAGGUCCCAUCUACCCCUCUGGAAUUCCUUCAAGGAGGAAUCAUGGACAGCACUUAGCACAGAGACAACCAUAGACUCGUGGUCCUUGACCCAAUCCCCAAGAGAGAGUGGAAAGGGAAGAGAGCACAAGAGCGAGCCAUGGGGCCUACGCACAUGAGGGGACCGGACACGGAUAACGGCCCGGCACACAGGAAUUCAGAAGUGCUCAAAAGGAUUUGAAAAGGUAGAAGAGACCUCAGUUCUGUGAAAACUCCAACCAAUGCCACCUCCUGCUCCAAGCCUUUCCUGAUACUCUCCCAUUAGUUAGCAAUGCUUGUAUUUUGUCUAUUCAUCUGGACAGAGCUUGUUUCCCCCCAUCAGGAUGUGGGCUUCUGAAGGGUUCUGCUUGUUCCGUCCCCUGCCCCAUACAUCCACAUGUAGUGGGUUUGCUGAAUUACGCUCUUAAAACUCAAGGGUUUCACCAAUGUGGUGUUAUAUAGAGACAAGAUAGCCUGUUUGGGAAUAAAUUCUCAACCUAGUCUAGACGUACAACCCUGACACAAUGGAAAGAGAACUGUGACAUACACAUACUUUGGAAGAUACACAGUUCUUUGUGAGAAUUUUGCGAGAAUUUGGCUAGCAAAUAGCAUUAUUUAAAAAUCAGCCAGUUUUGAGUCACUAGGUAGCAAAGAGUGAACUUUAGUUCUAAUACCUUUAUAUCAGCUUAUUUGUUGUAACUAGUCACCAAGAAAACUUCAUUUUUUUUUUUUUUUUGCUGAGGCAAUUGGAGUUAAGUGACUUGCCCAGGGUCACACAGCCAGGAAGUGUUGGGUCCUCCUGACUUCGGGGCUGGUGCUCUACUCGCUGCGCCACCCAGCCGCUCCAGGAAAACUCUAUUUUGUAGUUAUUUGACAGUGGCUACCACCACCAAGAUAAUAGUUGCAAACACUACUAGGGGCUACAUUAUUUCUGUCCCCUUCUCUCUCCCAUAAGCAAUUUAUGCUAAUGAUAUUAGUCUGUCCAUAAUUAAAUUGUUCCUAUUAUAAAAAUGGAAAUAAGAGUUCUAUAUUUCAGGAGUAAAAAAAAAAAAAAAAAAAGAAAAAGAGAACAUCCCUAUGGGAAGUUGGAAAGGCAGUGGAAAGAUGCCACUGAAACACUGCCUUUGUCCCCGUCAGCCACUGCGCUGCCUAAAAACACAUUAACAAAUGGGCUGUUUAUGGGAGUGAGCUCGGGAGGUAAACGUGCCAACAACUUGUUGGAGCUGCUGUUCUAGGAUAAAGCUGCCACACCAACUUAGGGAGGUGGUCACUUGACAGACAGGUGGAUCUUGGUUUUAGCUCCGAUCUGCGCCUCCCUCCACCGGUCCUUGUCAGCAUCUGGGUCGGAUGCCCUGCCCACAGCCCAGACCAGAAGGGAGCCUGACGUUAGGCAGCAGAGCCAGAGAGAGGCAGGGCCAGGGGCAGGCUGGAGGAGGCUCCUUCCCAUUCACAAGACUUGGCGGGAGGCAACGGAGACUCGCUCCACUGGGCCUUUGGUGUGUGUGUGCUUCCCUCCUAGAAAUCCUCCAGAAUUCAGAAGUGAGGAAGCAAUCUAGAAGGCGCCUCAUGCCAUCAUCAGGUUUGUUCUAGGAGCAAGAGCCUGUCCUAGUGAUAAGCCUCUCGUGGUUCUGACCCCGCACAGGGGCUACUUGGGUCAGCUCCCAUAGUAGGAGUGCCGAGAGAGAGGGCCAAGAGGAGCUGGGAGAGUGGAUCAAAGAAAAAUCUAUGGAACCAUCUUCCCAGCUUCCCUUAGGAGCGGCUCUUCCUUUAGGGGCUCCAAGGGAGCACAGUCCUCCUUUGCUCUGUGCCCCAGAUCUCUAGAGCAGAGCAGAGUUGAGGAGACCAGCUCCCCACCCCCUCGAGGCCUCAGAAACCCUUUUUGUUUCCAUCCUUCAACUGAUGCCCCGAUGGGACAGGAACCAGGAGUGUCUGCAUGGGUGUCACGCAGUGGAGGCAUCCGACAAGCCAGACAGAGGGGGUAGGACUGGGAUGGCUAAAUGACAUCUUUUUCCGCACAAUGUCACCAGCCGUGUAGCAUGCCAUGUGUAAAAAAUGAGUCAACUGCCGUAAGCCCUUACACCACCACCAAGACUUUUGUUCAAUAAAAGAAUAAUCUCGUUACUUACAUUAUAGUGUUCUCUAAGUGAUAUUCAAUUGAAUAGAAGAUGUCUCAAAUAAAUCUGCCAACUGGUGUACAAUAAGGAAACGAUGGUGUGAAAAACAAAAAUAAACAAAAUAUGAAGUGUUUGUUCCUAUCAAGUUAUUAUCAAAAGUCUAUGCUGAUAGUUAUAGAUUCUCAUCUGUCAAAGAAAGAGUAAUAACGCUGCAGAAGAGACUGAAUUUUUUUGGUAACUUGGGAGAAACUAGCAUCCCCCAAAUAACUAUAUAUGCUCUUAGAUACAUUUUUCUAUUUUCAAUUGAAACUUUAAAUGUUUUCCAGAUGGGAAUUGGCUUACUCUGAUAAUACAAUAAAAAUGUGGAUUUCUGAUCUUUAUGGACACUUUCAAUUUUGUACUCUCGGUCAAAAAGUUAUAUCUAUGAAAACAUUCUA
ensembl:lncRNA